GACAGAGGAGGCAAGCGUUGUCCGGACUGACUGGGCGUAAAGCGCGCGCAGGCGGAUAUGGGCGUCGGUGCUGAAAGACCACCGCUUAACGGUGGCUCGCGUGUCGAUACGCCAUAUCUGGAGGGCGGGCGAGGGCGGUGGAAUUGCCGGUGUAGUGGUGAAAUGCGUAGAGAUUGGAAAGAACACCGAUGGCGAAGGCACUUUACUGGGCUAUUACUAACACUCAGAGACGAAAGCUAGGGUAGCAAAUGGG
rnacentral:rRNA from 1 species